CAUGAUAUGGCUCUAAUGACUGGAGGAACACCAGUGUCCUUUACCUUGAGCCAAUUCAGAUCUAUUCCCUGUGGGCUUGCCUGCCGUGGCUGCUAAAAGGGGGGCUCCAAGCCGAGAGAGGAAACCCUACCUGUGGCAGAAAACAGUUGGUUAUAUUAGGAGGCUGGAGGAGGCAGUGUCUGAUUUACACAGGGCCCAGGGGAUUGGAUUGACAAGCCCUCCCUGAAUUAUCCAUCAUGAAAACAAGGAGAAUAAACACAGAGUAAGACAACAUGGGAGAGUAGAAGAGAGAAAACCAAAUAAGGAAUCUCAAAUGCAGCCUCUCCCUUGCCUCCCAACCAUUGUGAACACAGAUCUCAAUGAACAUUUUGGUGAAUAAGUACCUACUCUAUGUGAACAGAAAGGGAAAGGACAAAAGGAAAGAAAGACAAAAAGGAAAUAUGUUUGCUGUCCUCAAGGAAUUUCCAUUUAGCGGGCA
rnacentral:lncRNA from 1 species